GACGAACGCUGGCGGCGCGCUUAACACAUGCAAGUCGAGCGAGAACCAGGGCUUCGGCUCUGGGGACAGCGGCGAACGGGUGAGUAACACGUGGAUAACCUGCCCUCGGCACCGGGAUAGCCCGGGGAAACUCGGAUUAAUACCGGAUAGCCCUUCCGACUCUCGAGUCGGUCCGAAAAGGUAGCUUCGGCCUCUGGCCGAGGAUGGGUCCGCGGCGGAUUAGCUUGUUGGUGGGGUAACGGCCUACCAAGGCUUCGAUCCGUAGCUGGUCUGAGAGGACGAUCAGCCACACUGGGACUGAGACACGGCCCAGACUCCUACGGGAGGCAGCAGUGGGGAAUCUUGCGCAAUGGGCGAAAGCCUGACGCAGCGACGCCGCGUGAGGGAGGAAGGCCU
rnacentral:rRNA from 1 species